rnacentral:rRNA from 1 species
GAUGAACGCUAGCGGCAGGCUUAAUACAUGCAAGUCGAGGGGCAGCGCAGUGUAGCAAUACAUGGGCGGCGACCGGCAAACGGGUGCGGAACACGUACGCAAUCUACCCAAAACUGAUGAAUAGCCCUCCGAAAGGAGGAUUAAUACAUCGUAACCUAUUAGAGUGGCAUCACUUUACUAGUAUAGCUCCGGCGGUUUUGGAUGAGCGUGCGGCUGAUUAGGUAGNGGUGUGGGUAACGGCCCACCAAGCCAGCGAUCAGUAACUGGUGUGAGAGCACGACCAGUCACACGGGCACUGAGACACGGGCCCGACUCCUACGGGAGGCAGCAGUAAGGAAUAUUGGUCAAUGGACGCAAGUCUGAACCAGCCAUGCCGCGUGAAGGAUG